CUCCAUUUUGAAAAUAACUUGUUCCGCGGCUUCUGCAUUCAUCUCCUUGCAGAAUCCGCGAACCAGCAUCCCGAACGCGAACCCAAGCGCGUCACCAGAGAGAGCUUUCGCAUCUAUCAGGUCGUCAAUCAAAGCAAAAGCCAUCUCUGUCUUGCCGUUCAAACAAAGCCCUUCAAUAAAAGUCGUAUAAGCAAACACGCUGGAAGUCUCUCCGAGCAGCCUCGCGGCUCCGUCCAAAUCGCGUUUUCGACACAAGGCCUUAACCACAAUCGCGUAAGUGUAGUCGUUCGCGGACAGGCCAAGCUGGUUAAGCUGGCGGAAAAGAGCCACCACCAUAUCGGUUCUACCGAACUCGACCAAACGGUUCAUCAAGAAGUUGCAGGACUUGAUGCCAGGGACGCAGCCCAGGCGUCUGCUCUGGUACAAGACAUCUAUAGCUUCGUCGAACAUACCGAGGCCGACGUAGGCUUUAACCAAGGCGCCGGAGACUCGAGCCAAGAGGAAGUUAGAGGAGUCAGCACCUUCUUCUUCCCCGAUUGCUUCCAUCAGCUCCAUCACGCGGAUAAAGGUUUCAUCGCAUACUAAUGAAGGCUGUUAUAUACAAGAAGAGAGCUGGGUGGAGGUUCUGUGUCAAGGAGGUAGUAUGUCAGUGAAUCAUCCUUUUGUGACUGUUCCACGGACUUUCCGGGACUAGUUCGUUCGGGACGAGUUUAUCAGUGGAACGAAAAGAACAACCAAAUAAGCAAAAGGAAGAAGGCACUAUGAAAGAGGACGAAGAGAAGAACGUGACUGUUAAUGCACCGGUGCAAAAAAAAAAAUUUGUAUAUUCCAGCACGGUCCAAGAUUUGGAAACUCUACCAAACCAAUCGCCAACUUCGUCUGAAUGCAAAAUCUCUCUCUAUAUAUUGAUAAAAUCCAAACCGAUAACGAUUGCUCAAUAGUCAACAAGUGUUAAUCAUGAUAUCAGAUAUCAGAGACGAAGGUCUCAUGUCAGACCCAGUACAAAUAUCAAACAUAAGGAAAAGUGUAAAAAAAAACGUACACGGUAUGUGUACAUCCAGAACAUUUCCUCCCAACUCAGCUUCGGGUUCUUCAACUUUGUUAUACUCCCAAGCUCAUCACUGCCUUAAGAAGACGACCCUACGGAACAUAUCAUCUUCUAAAACGGUGAAUCAAGAUACGGUCAAGUGGAGGGGAGAUUUGUAUCCGUCAACAUCAACAGACUUGCCCCCAGCAUAUCCAUGGGUUUUGUGAGAUACAUACACGUAGAUCCUGGUUUUCCUGAAUAAUGCAAAGAUUAUGUAAACUACGAAAAAAGCGGAGUGCAAUAAUCCUGCAAGAAAUGAGCUCUCACAGUCAUAUAAGUGGAUAACAUGCAGCUAUUUCUGUGGCUCCUCCUCAGACUCUGGUUCCCAUACAGCAAGAGUACUCAUGCCCUGUUACAUUAAUAGACGAUUAGCAAUAAAACAAUAAGCAAUUUAAUCAGAAAAAUACCCCACUUCCCCUUACCGGUGUAGUCUUUUGAUUUCUCUCAAUGUUUUGAAUUCUACCUUUUUUUGCCUCCAAAUAAGAUGCAAAAUUAAAUAUAUAGAUCACUUGCAAAUCCAUGCUUGACCUUUCAAAUAUACACUCUUCAUUUCCGAUACUGAGAUCUCCUGGUCUUCAUAGCACGCUUAACUACAGCAAACAAAUGUUCAGGCAGUGUAAUAUCCUUUCCUGACAACUCGGUAACAAGUGCAUCUGUGCAUCCUUUGCGAUGACAAGCAGAUAUUAGAACAUUGUAGGUCACAUUAUCAGGCUUCAGCCCACACUCUAUCAUUCGAUAAAGGAUGUCGGUGGCGAUAUCUACGUUGCCAAUCUUGCAAUGGUGAUUCAUCAGAACAGUAUACAUCUUAACGUCUGGUUCUAUACAAGCAGCUCCUAACUUUUUCCAAAUCUGUUUCGCUUCUCCUCGAAGAAGGCAACCCAUCUCUCUAUCCAACCUCAGAUAACCAUGAAACAAAACCGUGUAUAUUAUCAAAUCAGGUUUUAUCCCUCUCUGCUUCAUCGCUUCGAAAAGAUCACUGGCUUUCUGCAACUCCAUUAGCCUAGAGUACGUCUGAAUCAUGAUCGUAUAAGUGACGAGAUCAGGGAGGUUUCCUCUCCCAACCAUUUUGUCAAACACCAGCUCGGCUUCCCUCACGCUAUCUACCUUACUUAUCAUUUUACCGUACAUGCUCCUCGCGGGUUCGACUCCAUAAGCCCACAUCCUUUUCAGCACCCUCAGAGCUUUGCCCUGACAAUUCUUAUUAUCCUCGUCGCAGAGAGCGGUAAACAGUUUAAAGCACAGGUUCUUGGGCAGAGGAGAGUUUAGCUCAACAAAUUUUCUAUAGGCGUCUUUAGCAAGGCCGGAAUCACAAUAGCCUUUCACCAAGCUGGCGUAAUUCUCCGGGCACUUGUCUUCAAGACUCGUGAAGAACUCUCUGGCUUCUUCUAAUUUACCCGCGGAACAGAGGCCGUCGAUGAUCACACUGUGGGUCACAGCAGUGGGCUCUACACCUUCAUUUCUCAUAGCUUUGUAAAUCUCAACCGCCUUUUCGCUAUGACCGUUCCUGGCGAGCCCACCGGCAAUCACGUUGUACGUGAUCACAUCAGGAUCCGUGCCCUUUGCUCUCAUCUCAUCAAACAAAUCGAGCGCAUCGGCGAAUCUGCCUUGAAGGCAGUAGCCGUCGAUCAGAGUCGUGUAGUUGACGACAUCAGGAACCAUUCCUUUAUCCAUCAUCUCUUCGAGCAGCUUCAUAGCUUCGUCCACUCUCUCGAGCUUGGUAAGAGCUUCGAACGCGGCGUUGUAACACACCUCGUCCAGGAAAACAUCCAUCUCUUUGAACUCUUGGAACCUUUUCAACGCUUCCAGCCACAUCGCGGACUCACGCAACGCUCCCAUCUUACAGUAGCAAUCGAGGAUCGAACUCACGAUCACGCAGUUGAUCCUCAGUCCCUUUUGCAGCAUCGCAUCCACGAUUCUCAAAGCUUUAUCCAACUCCAAGCUUUUGCAGUACAAAUCGAUUAUCACCGAGCAAGCGUAAACAUCAGGACCGAUACCAAACUCCUCCAUUUUGAAAAUAACUUGUUCCGCGGCUUCUGCAUUCAUCUCCUUGCAGAAUCCGCGAACCAGCAUCCCGAACGCGAACCCAAGCGCGUCACCAGAGAGAGCUUUCGCAUCUAUCAGGUCGUCAAUCAAAGCAAAAGCCAUCUCUGUCUUGCCGUUCAAACAAAGCCCUUCAAUAAAAGUCGUAUAAGCAAACACGCUGGAAGUCUCUCCGAGCAGCCUCGCGGCUCCGUCCAAAUCGCG
rnacentral:lncRNA from 1 species